UACAGAGGGUGCAAGCGUUAAUCAGAAUUACUGGGCGUAAAGGGCGCGUAGGUGGUUAAUUAAGUGAGAUGUGAAAUCCCUGGGCUUAACCUAGGAACUGCAUCUUAAACUGGUAGACUAGAGUACGGUAGAGGGUAGUGGAAUUUCCGGUGUAGCGGUGAAAUGCGUAGAUAUCGUAAGGAAGACCAGUGGCGAAGGCGGGUCUCUGGACAGUUCCUGACGCUGAGGCACGAAGGUCAGGGGAGCAAACGGG
rnacentral:rRNA from 1 species